rnacentral:lncRNA from 1 species
GCUGAAGUAUUUACAUUUGCCAUGAUUGCAAGGCUCUGAUACCAUGUGAAAUUUUAUAGUAAAGUGUUUGGUUUCCAAGAAUCAAAGAGAAAAUAUCAGAUGAGAAAGAAAGAAAGUUUGUUUCAUUUCACUUAACUGAAUGAAGUAAUACAGAGGCUAGUAUUUAUAUUACAUUCACAAAACAAACUUAACUAAUGUAUCACCAAUAGCAAUUUGAUAGUUGUACAAUUUAUAACAGUCUAACACCAUGCUGGCUUACACACUCACGUGAGUGUUAAUUAACUCUCUUAGCACCAGCUAAGCUUCUCAACAACCUGAGCAGCCUUGAGGUUACUGAAGAAAUCUGGAGCUUUCUAGAAUAUUCCUAACAAUUUUAGGAAUAGAGAUUCACGAUCAUAAUCAUAUUCAUGGCACCUUUUCAUCAUCUUUAUCUUCAUCAAUUGUUGCCUUCCCUAAACUAAAAAGGCUCAAGUUAAGUCGUAUACAUGAACUGGAAGAGUGGGAUUUUGGAAAAGAAGAUAUUACAAUUAUGCCACAGCUGUGGCCGCUAGGAAUUGCUUUCGCUCUUCUCUCUCUAGGGUGCUGGUGGUCGAUAGUUGUAUGUAAUGUUGAGGAAAGAGAUUCGGAUGAAAGAGGUUCGACGGGAUAUUCCGGAACAUGUCUCCAAUCAUCGUACAAGAUUGAAACAUUAUCCCUGACCACAACACCAAUAUACGAUCUCAGUUUAGUGAUACUUUCUCCAACAGGAAGUCCAUAGUCAUUAUAAUCGAUUAUGAUUUUGUUGUCAGGUGUUAAUUUCAUCAAAUGCUUUAUCUUUGUUUUUUUUCUCCUCGUUGAUUUCUCAUCACAUUCGGGCUCACUCAUCUUUUCAUUUUCUUCUUUGUUAGACAUAUCACUAAAAUUUAAAACCAAUGCACAAAUUAUUAAUCAAAACAGAUUGCAAAAAACACAGCAAGUGAAUGUAAAUACUCUCAUCAUAACCUACUGAUUUAUUCUUUAGAUAAAGGUUCAUAUAUGACCAUGUUCAAAGAUGAAUAUUCUUUAGAUAAAGGUUCAUGUAUAACCAUGUCAACACUCCCAUCAUAACCUACUGAUUUAUUGAAUCUUUGACCCAUUGAACAAACAAUUGAUUUUUUUGGAUCUACUUGAUCUUUCACAUAAAAUGCUUGCUUUGCAUGUGAAGCUAAAAUGAAACAAUCAAACUUAUGACCAACACGAUUAAAGAUCAACGAUAGUGAACCCUAAAUCAUUAAUCUUAACCCACCUACUAUCUACCCAGUCACACUUAAAAACAACUCUCUUAGCCAUGAGAUAUUCAAUCUCCCAAAUCUCAACAAGGACCUCACAAUACUCCAUCACACUAGUGUGUGGAUUUUCAUCCUUUGAACUUGAAACUUGUAAUGUUGUUGUUGAAAUGUUGACUCCACUGUUUUCUAUAACACGGUUAUUAUUGUGGUCCUUAGUUGUAAAUUUGAAACCAAUGAUAAAAUACCCUGAAUAUGCUAUAACAAUAGAGCUAGGUUUGUUGGCCAACCACUUUACUGUUUUUGGUACAUGUAUACCAACUGUAAUAUCAUUUGCUACCUGCAAUUAAAUAAACACUUAUAAAUUUUAAAAAUAAAUGAAACAAUGUUAGUUCAAACUAGUUAUGUAUUCAAACUUUAUGUUGUAACCAAAUAGUAAAGGUAUGAGCAUGCUCAAUUUCUAACUAGUGACCACGUUUUGACUGCUUUGGGUAUUUUAUUUGCAAGUACAAUUUAUGCUCCCUACAAUAUCAUUAUAAAAAUAUCAGUUGUUUUAAAUUUGCUAUAAGUUAAAUUAGUUUUCAACAUAACAGUCACCAAUUAUAAUAAACUUACUUGAUAUAAUUUUCACACUCAAUGGUAUUUUCCAAAACACAAAGAUGUGCUUGCUGCAACAAUGAAGCAUCAACCACCAUAGCUUUUCCUCCUCCUAAGGGCUUUUCAAUUGUAUAAUCUACCAUGCAACUAGGUGGCAGUCCAAUGAAAUCAUGAUUGGACAAUUAUUCAGCACAAAAUUCAAGUGCUUCCUUUGCCACAUAACAUUCGGCAAUGCAUCCCUCAGGGCGACAAUGGUUUAAAACAUAACCCUUUAGCAAUUUCAUGUUUCUCUCAAAUGAAUACAUCCAGCAAAGGUGAACAGGUCCACAUAAUCGGACUUGGUCAACAAGAUGUACCGUCAAGUGGACCAUUAUAUAAAAAAAAAUAAGGUUGGAAAAAUUGUUCAAACAAGCACAUAGUGACGUAAUGUUGUUUUUCCAAUUUGUCAAGAGAUUUUGUUUCUAGCACCUUACUACACAAUGCAUUAAAGUAAAAUACUCCUGAAGUGUGGCAGUAAUGAGAUUUAAGACCUUGAAGCCGAUAAUAAUCCAAGUUUACAAGACUUCUGAAGUUGGAAGAAUAACCUUAUGGAACUUUGGUUUCAAACAAAGUUUGACAAAACAUUUUUUUCUUUUUUACUCAAGGUGUAAGGUGCUGUAGAUAUGGAAUUUUUAUCAUUUUCACUAUGAAUUAAUUUGCCCCUAAUCUAUAAUUCAAUUAGAUCUAUUCUAGCCUUGACCCCACCUUUUGUUUUUCUAGGUUGAUGAAGUAAUGUGUCAUAGAUGUCUCAUAAAUAUUUUUCUCAAUGUGCAUCACAUCUAACACAUGGCGAACUAAUAAAUGUUGCCAAUAUUCUAAAUAAAAAAAUUUGAUUUUCUUUUGAAUAAUUUGUCAAUAUCAUUAUCACAAUCAUCACGCUUUCGGUUACUGCCUCUAUGCUUACUAUUCUUAUAGUUAAUACCAUCUACCAGUUUUAAAAAUUUCUUGAGUAGACAAAGUUUUUGAAGGUUCAUCCCAUUCUGCCUUAUUAUUGAAACCUUCUUUAAUGAUCUAAAUGAGUGGUCAUGUGGUAAAAAUCGAUGGUGCCCUAAAAAUACACACUUUUUACUAUGUGUAAGCCAUUAUAACUUUUUGUCUUGGCCACAGACUGGACAAGCAUAGUAAUCUUUAACAGUACAACCUGAAAGAUUCUCAUAUGUAGGAAAGUCACUAAUAGUCCACAUCAUGAUAGCCUGCAAAUUGAAGGUUUGCUUUUUAAAAGCGUCAUAAGUUUCUACACCAACAUUCCAAAGGGUUUUCAAAUAAUCAAUUAAGGGUGCUAUGUAGACAUCUAGAUCAUUCUUUAGUUGUUUAGGCCCAGAUAUCAACAAAGACAACAUAAUGAAUUUUCUUUUCAUGCACAUCCAUGGAGGAAGAUUGUAAAUUACCAACACAACUAGCCAACAAUUGUAGGUAGAGCUAAGAGUGCUCUGUGGAUUGGCCCCAUCAGUUGAGAGAGGUAGACAGAGAUUUCUAUAUUCAUGGCUAAAAUCAGACCACUUGGAGUUAACUAAAUGCCAUACUGGUGAAUCUGCUGGAUGACGAAGUUUUCCAUCUCUAGUUCAGUGAAUAGCAUGCCAAGUAAAGUUCUCAGCAAUUUGGGGCGAUUGAAACAUAUGUUUGAAUGUAGGAAUAAGAGGAAAAUACUAUAAUACCUUUCUAAGCACCUAGUUACUCCUUUUUUUAACUUUGUUUUUUGUUUUUCCACCUAUACUCUCCACAGGUAGGACACUUAUUCAAAUAUGCAUACUCUUUAUAGAACAGAAUGCAAUCAUUCUUGCAUGCAUGUAUUUUCCCACAAUUUAAUCCUAACACUCUCAUUGUUUUUUUUUUUUUUUGGCCUCAUACAUUGACUUUAGAACAUUAUUCAUUUCUGGAAACAUGUCAGAAAGAACUUCUAACAAAGCACUAAACCCUUGGUCAAACCACUUAUAAUUCCUGUUCACAUUAUACAAUUUCAUUAACCCUGACAACUUAGAAUACUUUGAACCUAAAUACCAAGGCUUCUCAGCAUCCCCAAGUAUAUCCCUAAAACACUUGGGAUUUUGAUCACAUUGUUCAUAAGCAUCAUAGAUUAUGUCCUCGACAUUACUGUGAUCUUGGAACCUAAAUUCGUGAUUUUCAUAAUAUUUUGGGCAACUUGCAGAGGCUGCAUUUGAAUCAACCUCUCCAUGGUUAUCCCAAACUAUGUAUGUUGGUAAAAAACCAUUUUGAAAUAAAUGACCCUUUAUUCGUUCAGGAGUAUGGAACUCUAGGUUGAAACACUCUGUACAAAGACAUCUAACUGAUCUAUGAUUUUUAGAAUUAAGCGUAGCAAAAUUCACAAACCCCUCAACUCCAUCUUCAUUUUCUUUGGACACUUUUGUUGGCCAUAUCCAAGAUUUAUCCAUUUCAACAAUGAUGCAUAUUAAUGUAAAAUUUUAUUUAAUUGAAACAAAUGGGGAAAUUAAGUUGCCAUGCAUCAUUCCCAACAUACAAUAAAUUAUUAAAUUAAGCAAUCACGUAUCAUUCCCAACAUACCCAAAAUUGUUAAAUUAAGUAGCCAUGCAUGCCUUCCUCACAUGUAAAGCAACAAAGGACAAAACAAGACAUUUGUUGUCAAGGAACCCAUUAUCACAAGUCACCAAUGUAUAGCUAAAGUGAAAAUGUAUUUAUGUUAAACAUGUAUUCAUAUCUUCAGCAAUCAAACACCUUCUCGUAAUUUUGUAGACGAUUUUAGCACAGCAGUAGAACAACAAUUUAUAAAAUUGAAUUAGUUGAAGAAACAAUCUGCCAACCACAUGCAAACUAGAACAAUAUUAGUACUUUUAUCAGUAAAUAUAUUGAUCAUGGUCAGAAAGGUAAAUUUAUUAGUAAAUAUAUUAGAAUCAAUAUUCAUAUAAUAUCAAUUUCAAAUGACAGAUUGACAAGUACAUAAUAUAAAUUAGAAAGAAACAAUGAAAACACCUCAACCAAUAAAUACGGUUUUAAUAGUAUAUCUAGGAUGACGAGGAAGAUGAACUAAAUUUCUGCAUACUACAGUCAAAUUCACAAAAUCUUUAAAAAUUCAAUACCAAGGCUAUUCAUAUGAUUCCAAUUGUAAAUGAAAGGUUGAUAAGUGUAUAAUGUGAUGUGGAAACAAGGUAUGAAAAAAUCACAGCCAAUAGAUACAAUUUUAGAAGCUUAUCCAACAUGGUGAGAAAGGUGGAUAAAAUUUCUACCUCUUAUAAGUAAUUUCAUAAAAUCAUUACGAAUUCAAAAUGCUAUACAUAUGAUACUAGUUGCAAAAGAAAGCUUAAUUAAUGUAUAAUUUGAAAUAAAAAGAAAAUAAGCAAAUAACUUAUCCUUAGUACAAUAAUCAAUAACUCAUACAUUUUGUCAAAUACCUUAGAGGCACAAUUUUGUAUCAUCUUCUUUUGAAAAAUCGUGUUUUAAAUUCUACCAGCACAAAUACCAUACCCAACAACAGAAAAACAUGUAAAUGUUAAAAAACAAUACCCAGCCCAAAUUGGAUAAAAUUAAAAAUAAAACUAGCUCCAAGUGUUUCAAAUUGAUGUUUUCCAUUAUUGGAUAUUGUUAUUUUGAUGAGAGAUUAAAGAAUAAAGUAGCAGAUAAUAUGAUAUUUCAGAAAUUAAAUGAAAUUAGCCCCCAAUUGCUUCUAAAAUAAAGGAUUCUACUAUUGAUUUGAUUAUAGUCAAAAUUGAAGAAACUAUAAUGGCUUACUUCUUUUGUAGGUUUGACAGGCUUGUUGCUUGAAUCCUCUUUUAAAUCUUCUUCUUUAGAAUCGCUAGGUGAUGUGGCUUAUCAAUUUCUAUUUGCAUAUUCAAAGAAAGGCAUGCUUGUUAAUUAGUAUGUAUCUGGCCGAAGGGUGAUUGAAGUGAAAAAGCUAGCAAGAGGGAUUUAAGGAAAUUGAAGGGGAUUUCGAUUUCAGUGGAACAAACAAGGGGCCUUAAAUUUGAGUUAGAAGAAUAAAGAUUCUAGGGUCACAACUUUUGUCGAUUUUGUUUUAGGGUUCCUGUAGAAAGCAAGGAGGGAAAUCGAUUUUAGAGGGAGGGGGAAAUGAGGAGCCAAAAAACUUCCAACUGUUCAAUUUAUAGCGAUAACGUUUUAGCAAUUAGAAUGAUGCCGUUUAGAUUUAAGAAAAUUGAAAAAAUUAAAAUAAAAUUAAAAUUACUUUUCCAAUUAGCAUUAAUGCUUGGUUAUGAUACAAUUGUAUCAAUGAUCACUGACACUUAGAUGUAAAAAGUUUUAAAAUCCGCUUAGGUCAUGAAAUGCUGGUGCUUUUUUAUUUAGCAUCAUAAACGUAGUUUCAGUGUUUCUCAUUUUUCUAGUAGUGAAUAAAAGUAAGAUUGAAUGAUUCAAAUGAGAAUAUGUCAAUUUAAUGAAAUUAAAAAGAAGUAAUACACCUAAAUAAAGGGAUAUUAUCAGUCUAACCUCAAAUCAAACUAAGAACAAAAUUCUUUCAAGGUCAUAAAGCAAACAACCUAAGCAAAAUGUUGUCUAAAAAAUGAACAUGCAUGCAAAGUUAAUAAAUAAAUAACAAUUAAAAACUACGUAAAACAAUAAUUAUGGACACCUAUAUCAUCACAAUGCAAAUAUAACAAUAUCUCAAGCGAUGGAUUAGACCACCAAGAAAAACCAGUGUGAGUCGUGCCAAGAUUAUUGAGCUUUUUAAAUUAAUAGAUACAAAUCAUUAUCACGCCCUAAUUAAUUAAUUUUGUAAUUUUCUUCAACUAAACACAAAAACUUUUAUGCUUGAAUAAAAUUAACAUAUUUUUUGUUUAGUACUUAUCUCUUAAUCUGUAUAAUACUGGUUGGCAAAUUUGCAUCCACCAAAUUUCUAACUAAAAACAAAUGUUAUUUUAUAUAACCGUUUUUUAAAUGCAAACAUCAACGGCCUGAGGAAAACUUCAUUAUAGGAAAAAGAAAGAUGCAUACACCUAAAACCUAACACUGUAUAGGUGUUUAUUUUCUAUGAAAGAAAUUGGGGACCGAAUAUUAUGAAAAGUAAUUUUUUCACCUGUUGUCCCUAAGCAAACAUUUUCCACCAUGUGUCUUAAUUUACCAUGAAAAGUAAUUUUGUCAUCAAGCUCAUUUUCAUUUCGCUAUCAUGCAAAACUCUUUAAUACAUUAUUAAGGUAGGAAUGCAAGACUAUAGUUUAGAGGUUUAUAGACUUUUGUAUAGAAUUAAAAUAAAUUUAUGUGCAACAAGUCCCGCAUUGGGCAUUACCUUAUUACCUGAAGAAUUAGACGAAAAUAAACACUUUUAGAAAUAAUACUACAUUCAGCCCAUCCUCCAAUGUAUUGAUGUCAUACAUCACUACAAUUAAUAUACCUCAUAAAUCUCAUCCAGAUAUUGUUAGAACAAGAAAUUCUUGGUGAAAAUCAUCACUUAUAACUCAAGAACAUUCAUUUUGUAUCAUCAAGAAUUAAUAACACAUUAUUCAGAAGCGUACCUGAAUCUAUAAUGCUGCAUUGCUUUCUAAGGUUGUGUGGUUGGUAUUCUAGAUUAACACAUUCUCCUAGAUAAUCCUGUAAUUUUCUCUACGCUCUCUCUGAUGAUAGGAUGUCAGAAAGAGUAGAAAGAUAUUUGUGACCUUCGGACCAUGACCAUUUAUAUAGACAACUCUUCCAUUGUUUUUAGGUAUUUCUAUUUCAGUCAGUCAUGAAAGUAGAAAUUAUCCUCAAGCCUCUAUACAUAAAAGGACUAUACUCUAUUAGAUACAUUAAAGCUCAAAUUACCAAAAACCUUAAUGGGUCACUUUUAAUUGAACUUAGCAUUAUAUGCAACACAUAAUUAUUUAUAUAUAAGCCCAACAUUGGAUUAAAGAUCUAACAAUAUUAGAUUAGAAAAUCCAACAAUCUCCCACUUGGGCUACAUGUGUAACCUUAUAAUUAUACUUUGCGAAAAUAAUUGUGUGAGCUCAACCUUAUUGUCAUUACCAAAAUGUACCUAUAACCAAUCUAGUCCAUCAAUCAUACCAAUAUAGGAUCAAAGUGGCCUUCGUUGCACUAUCAUAACUCAACCCAUCAAUGAUUGUUAUGCUAAUACAAGUGAAUGACAUGGAUCAUAAUGUGGAUAUGUAGUAUGGAAUUUCAUGAAAUGUGAUCUUAACAUACCUAUUUCCAACUGGUCCACCUUAAACCUUAGUGAGAUCAAACCAUACUAAAUUUAGAGUGUGAAUAAACUAAUUUUUUUUUGUAGAAAAUAACUUUAAACAUCUAUAAACCGAAAUAACUGAAAAAGUAUCUGUAACAUAAGACAUCUAAAGUGAAAAACUGAAACGACCCGCCCCGCAACUCCCCAGGGCGAGUCUAUCUAAACUCGUAAAAUCGAAACUAUUCUAUAAAAAUUUCGGCAGAGUCUCCCUUAUAAAUAAAACAUAUCCAAUCCUGCAAAUUAUAAAGCAACACUCCCAAAUAAUUUAAUAUCUAACCAUCCUCCAUAACCAACUUCUCAAAUCAAAAUAUCAAACAUCACCAAAAUCAUCCGAAUAUUAAAAUACAA